CACGUUUUCCAUAAAUUACGAACAACCCAUUGUAACUCCCCACUCUGCAGUUCCUCUCAACUCUUUUCUUCCUCUUGUUCUUCGACCAUGUCUCAGAUAAAAAGAGUCAAAUAUCUCUACAGGUUCGAGGUAAAGAAAUCAAAUAAUUUCUUCAUUUGCUGUAAGAGAUCAGGGAAAUGCAAGGUUAGAAAAUUUACUGGUGUCGAAACUGUUUGUGAAAAUCUUAUUGAUGAAGAUAACCUCGUUUUUGGGUGAAUCUAAUGGGAGAUUGAAUGAAGAAGUUGAUUUUGAAAUCUUUCCAAAGGUAGAUAUUAGUUUGGUACAAGGUGAACAUCAGGUAGAAAUUGAGAUUCGAGGAUUCCAAAACGAGACUGUGACAUCACUUAUCUCCUUCUGGAUUUUCGUUUUCAGCAUGUAGUGCAGGCUGUGCUUUCACAAAUUAUUAAGGUUUUGCUAAAUGGCGUUGGAAGUGAAUUCUGUGUCAGAAGAUACUUGUUGAUGGACAUUGGAAGCGAAGGAAUGCUACAUCAUUGGCAUUGGAAGUGAAUUCUAUGUCGGAAGAUACUUGUUGAUGGACAUUAGAAGAGAAGGAAUGCUACAUCAUCCAUUGGUUUACUCAUUUUAAUUUUAUGUUUUAAUGUAAAAUUAGAUUUUUCGAUGCGAACUCAACAAGUCAACAUUAGACUUACAUUUUUAUUUUUAUUUAGCUUUUCCUGUUGUUUGGAUGUAUGAAUUAUGACCUUAUAAAUAUUUGUUUGAAUGAAUGGUGUUUUGGAAUUU